rnacentral:rRNA from 1 species
AACGCUAGCUACAGGCUUAACACAUGCAAGUCGAGGGGCAGCACUAGGUAGCAAUACACGGGUGGCGACCGGCGCACGGGUGCGUAACGCGUAUCCAACCUUCCCGUUACUCUUGGAUAGCCUUCCGAAAGGGAGAUUAAUACAAGAUGGUAUUCAAAUUCCGCAUGUUAUUUGAAUUAAAGAUUUAUCGGUAACGGAUGGGGAUGCGUGACAUUAGAUAGUAGGCGGGGUAACGGCCCACCUAGUCUACGAUGUCUAGGGGUUCUGAGAGGAAGGUCCCCCACACUGGAACUGAGACACGGUCCAGACUCCUACGGGAGGCAGCAGUGAGGAAUAUUGGUCAAUGGUCGGAAGACUGAACCAGCCAAGUAGCGUGAAGGAUGAAGGUUCUAUGGAUUGUAAACUUCUUUUAUACGGGAAUAAAACCUCCCACGUGUGGGAGCUUGUAUGUACCGUAUGAAUAAGCAUCGGCUAACUCCGUGCCAGCAGCCGCGGUAAUACGGAGGAUGCGAGCGUUAUCCGGAUUUAUUGGGUUUAAAGGGAGCGUAGACGGGAUGUUAAGUCAGUUGUGAAAGGCUGCGGCUCGACCGCAGCACUGCAGUUGAUACUGGCGUCCUUGAGUGCGGUUGAGGUAUGUGGAAUUCGUGGUGUAGCGGUGAAAUGCUUAGAUAUCACGAAGAACUCCGAUUG